GGGUUGUGAGGUUAAGCGACUAAGCGUACACGGUGGAUGCCCUGGCAGUCAGAGGCGAUGAAGGACGUGCUAAUCUGCGAUAAGCGUCGGUAAGGUGAUAUGAACCGUUAUAACCGGCGAUUUCCGAAUGGGGAAACCCAGUGUGAUUCGUCACACUAUCAUUAACUGAAUCCAUAGGUUAAUGAGGCGAACCGGGGGAACUGAAACAUCUAAGUACCCCGAGGAAAAGAAAUCAACCGAGAUUCCCCCAGUAGCGGCGAGCGAACGGGGAGCAGCCCAGAGCCUGAAUCAGUGUGUGUGUUAGUGGAAGCGUCUGGAAAGGCGCGCGAUACAGGGUGACAGCCCCGUACACAAAAAUGCACAUGCUGUGAGCUCGAUGAGUAGGGCGGGACACGUGGUAUCCUGUCUGAAUAUGGGGGGACCAUCCUCCAAGGCUAAAUACUCCUGACUGACCGAUAGUGAACCAGUACCGUGAGGGAAAGGCGAAAAGAACCCCGGCGAGGGGAGUGAAAAAGAACCUGAAACCGUGUACGUACAAGCAGUGGGAGCACAGAGCAAUCUGUGUGACUGCGUACCUUUUGUAUAAUGGGUCAGCGACUUAUAUUCUGUAGCAAGGUUAACCGAAUAGGGGAGCCGAAGGGAAACCGAGUCUUAACUGGGCGUUAAGUUGCAGGGUAUAGACCCGAAACCCGGUGAUCUAGCCAUGGGCAGGUUGAAGGUUGGGUAACACUAACUGGAGGACCGAACCGACUAAUGUUGAAAAAUUAGCGGAUGACUUGUGGCUGGGGGUGAAAGGCCAAUCAAACCGGGAGAUAGCUGGUUCUCCCCGAAAGCUAUUUAGGUAGCGCCUCGUGAAUUCAUCUCCGGGGGUAGAGCACUGUUUCGGCAAGGGGGUCAUCCCGACUUACCAACCCGAUGCAAACUGCGAAUACCGGAGAAUGUUAUCACGGGAGACACACGGCGGGUGCUAACGUCCGUCGUGAAGAGGGAAACAACCCAGACCGCCAGCUAAGGUCCCAAAGUCAUGGUUAAGUGGGAAACGAUGUGGGAAGGCCCAGACAGCCAGGAUGUUGGCUUAGAAGCAGCCAUCAUUUAAAGAAAGCGUAAUAGCUCACUGGUCGAGUCGGCCUGCGCGGAAGAUGUAACGGGGCUAAACCAUGCACCGAAGCUGCGGCAGCGACGCUUAUGCGUUGUUGGGUAGGGGAGCGUUCUGUAAGCCUGCGAAGGUGUGCUGUGAGGCAUGCUGGAGGUAUCAGAAGUGCGAAUGCUGACAUAAGUAACGAUAAAGCGGGUGAAAAGCCCGCUCGCCGGAAGACCAAGGGUUCCUGUCCAACGUUAAUCGGGGCAGGGUGAGUCGACCCCUAAGGCGAGGCCGAAAGGCGUAGUCGAUGGGAAACAGGUUAAUAUUCCUGUACUUGGUGUUACUGCGAAGGGGGGACGGAGAAGGCUAUGUUGGCCGGGCGACGGUUGUCCCGGUUUAAGCGUGUAGGCUGGUUUUCCAGGCAAAUCCGGAAAAUCAAGGCUGAGGCGUGAUGACGAGGCACUACGGUGCUGAAGCAACAAAUGCCCUGCUUCCAGGAAAAGCCUCUAAGCAUCAGGUAACAUCAAAUCGUACCCCAAACCGACACAGGUGGUCAGGUAGAGAAUACCAAGGCGCUUGAGAGAACUCGGGUGAAGGAACUAGGCAAAAUGGUGCCGUAACUUCGGGAGAAGGCACGCUGAUAUGUAGGUGAAGCGACUUGCUCGUGGAGCUGAAAUCAGUCGAAGAUACCAGCUGGCUGCAACUGUUUAUUAAAAACACAGCACUGUGCAAACACGAAAGUGGACGUAUACGGUGUGACGCCUGCCCGGUGCCGGAAGGUUAAUUGAUGGGGUUAGCGCAAGCGAAGCUCUUGAUCGAAGCCCCGGUAAACGGCGGCCGUAACUAUAACGGUCCUAAGGUAGCGAAAUUCCUUGUCGGGUAAGUUCCGACCUGCACGAAUGGCGUAAUGAUGGCCAGGCUGUCUCCACCCGAGACUCAGUGAAAUUGAACUCGCUGUGAAGAUGCAGUGUACCCGCGGCAAGACGGAAAGACCCCGUGAACCUUUACUAUAGCUUGACACUGAACAUUGAGCCUUGAUGUGUAGGAUAGGUGGGAGGCUUUGAAGUGUGGACGCCAGUCUGCAUGGAGCCGACCUUGAAAUACCACCCUUUAAUGUUUGAUGUUCUAACGUGGACCCGUAAUCCGGGUUGCGGACAGUGUCUGGUGGGUAGUUUGACUGGGGCGGUCUCCUCCUAAAGAGUAACGGAGGAGCACGAAGGUUGGCUAAUCCUGGUCGGACAUCAGGAGGUUAGUGCAAUGGCAUAAGCCAGCUUGACUGCGAGCGUGACGGCGCGAGCAGGUGCGAAAGCAGGUCAUAGUGAUCCGGUGGUUCUGAAUGGAAGGGCCAUCGCUCAACGGAUAAAAGGUACUCCGGGGAUAACAGGCUGAUACCGCCCAAGAGUUCAUAUCGACGGCGGUGUUUGGCACCUCGAUGUCGGCUCAUCACAUCCUGGGGCUGAAGUAGGUCCCAAGGGUAUGGCUGUUCGCCAUUUAAAGUGGUACGCGAGCUGGGUUUAGAACGUCGUGAGACAGUUCGGUCCCUAUCUGCCGUGGGCGCUGGAGAACUGAGGGGGGCUGCUCCUAGUACGAGAGGACCGGAGUGGACGCAUCACUGGUGUUCGGGUUGUCAUGCCAAUGGCACUGCCCGGUAGCUAAAUGCGGAAGAGAUAAGUGCUGAAAGCAUCUAAGCACGAAACUUGCCCCGAGAUGAGUUCUCCCUGACCCUUUAAGGGUCCUGAAGGAACGUUGAAGACGACGACGUUGAUAGGCCGGGUGUGUAAGCGCAGCGAUGCGUUGAGCUAACCGGUACUAAUGAACCGUGAGGCUUAACCUUACAACGCCGAAGCUGUU
rnacentral:rRNA from 1 species